UUAGUCUUAUAAUUGAAGACUGGAAUGAAAGAGUUAACUUAAAAAAACAAUUUCUAUUAUUAGACUUAAAUCUUACCUUUUAGUAAAAAGGCUAAAAUAAAACUUAAAGACAAGAAGACCCUGUAAAACUUAACACAUUUCUAUCUAACUAAUAAAUUUUGUGUUCGGCUGGGGCGGCAAAGAAUUCUAACAUUCUUAAAAAAUUAUAAUUAGCAUUAACAUACCCAGAAAUUCUGAAAUUUAAACAAGUUACUUCAGGGAUAACAGCGUUAUAUACUUUGAAAGAUCAAAUUGACAAGUUUGUUUGCGACCUCGAUGUUGGAUUG
rnacentral:rRNA from 1 species